GUCUAUGGCAAUACCACGCUGGACACACCUGAUCUCAUCUGAUCUCAAAAUCUUAGCAAGGGCGGGCCUGGUUAGUACUAGAAUGGGAAAAUUAUUUGUUUUGUGACUUCAAGUCAGCAGCUGGGACCAAAUGAUU
rnacentral:rRNA from 1 species